rnacentral:lncRNA from 1 species
UUCCAUUGAAAAGUACAUCACUUACGUAGACGGCUUGUCACCACUGCCAAUCUGGGGCCUCCCGCGCGACCUUUCUGCCAUUGACGAAUCAGGAUUCGCUCGCAGAUACGCUAGAGCCAAGAGCUACGCCACAACGUCGUGGGUUUUGAUCAACUCGUUCGAAGAACUCGAGGGCAGUGCCACCUUCCAAGCCCUCCGAGACAUCUCUCCCAAAGCAAUCGCAGUGGGUCCUCUUUUCACCAUGGCCCCCGGCUGCAACAAGGCAAGCUUGUGGAAGGAAGACACCGAGAGUUUAUCCUGGCUCGGCAAGCAAAGUCCCGGCUCGGUUCUCUACAUUUCCUUGGGCAGCAUCGCGACCCUCAGCUUCGAUCAGUUCAAGGAGUUCUCCGAGGGACUGAGGCUUCUCCAGCGUCCGUUUAUCUGGGCCAUCCGACCCAAGUCGGUCGCCGGCAUGGAGCCCGAGUUCCUGGAGCGUUUCAAGGAGGCCGUGAGGAGCUUUGGACUGGUUGUGAGCUGGGCUCCUCAGGUGGACAUCCUCCGCCACCCUUCCACGGCUGGAUUUCUCAGUCACUGCGGCUGGAACUCCAUCCUCGAGAGCGUAGCAUCCGCGGUGCCCAUGCUUUGCUGGCCGUGCGUCGCGGAGCAGAAUCUAAACUGCAAGUUGAUAGUGGAGGACUGGAAGAUCGGUCUCAAGUUCUCGUGCGUGACCAUGCCGGAUCCUCCCGAGGUGAUGGCGAGGGACGAGUUUGUGGAGGUGGUGGAGCGAUUCAUGGGAACUGACAGUGAGCAUUUGAGGAUUAACGUGAAGAAGCUGAGCGAGGAGGCUCGUAGAGCAGUGUCUAGUGGUGGCUCCUCAUAUGAAAACCUGGAGAGAUUUGCUCAAGCAGUGAAAAUUUCCUAAACUUCAAUCCAAAGCUAAGAGAAAACUUCAAAGCAUCUACUCUAUUCAAGAAUAUACUACAGUUCUUUCUCUCUCUCUCUGAAGAUAAGCACGCGCUUUGCGCGUAUAAUGGGUUCCAAGGUCAAUGUUGUCGCAAUUCCUCUCCCAGCUCAAGGCCACAUCUCUCCACUCUUGCAUCUCUGCCAAGCUCUCACUUUCAUCCUUUGGGGGAUGCUAUCUCCAAAACACGCAACCAUGAGGGAAUGUGCUGGACUUUGUUACGUGCAAAAACCCAUGGCUAAUGUGCUAAUGUAGACUCUAAGGUGAUGCUUUAUAUCAGAAACUGAUGUGAGGAGAAGAAACUAAAGAAAAACAAAGAAAAAAUAAUAAUAAGAAAGAGAGUGUAAAGUUCUGGAGUCAAAGGGGAACCACAUGGGGAAACUUGAUAAAAGAAUUAAACACUAAAAAAUGGAAAAACAAAAAGUGAAAAAAACUAAAGAGCAAAGAACAGCUUAAAGAAAUACUAGCAAGAUUGGAAGAGCUCUAGAGGCCAGUUAGAAUGGCCAUUUGUCUCAAGUUGGUCCCUGGCAUAGAGCCCGAGUUCCUGGAGGCUUUCAAGGCUCUCCUUGCAAGUGAUCAGCUUUGGACAGGUUGUGAGCUGGGCUCCUCAACUGGAAAUCCUCCAGCAUCCUUCCACAGGCUGCGAGAGUGUAUCUUCAGCGGUGCCAAUCCUUUGCUGGCCAUGAGUUGCCAAGCAGAAUCUCAACUGCAAGCUUAUAGUGGAAGACUGGAAGAUCGAUCUUAAGUUCCCGCCCAUGAGAGAUCCUCGCAAGGUUUAGAUGUAAUGUGAAGGAGCUCAGCGAGGCUGCUCAGGGAGCAACAGUGAAAGAAGGCAGGAUCUUCAUAUGAAAGUUUGGACAAGUUUGUCAAGUUUCAUAAGGUAACUUAUAUCCAAUGCCGCAGCUGGUGGCAGGAGGAUCAUCGGGCAUGAGGGCGGGGCCAAUGCACAGACAGACCAACCACCAAGAGCACAUAAAGAUGAUACUUGAAAGUGUAUAGGUUGGUGGAAGUGUUAUUUUCCUUCCCAAAGAAAUAGAUGGCGUAAUCAAGAGGAGUAAAACAUUCCUGAAGGAGAACACUAGAUUAAAACAUUUGCAAAACGCACUGAUUCUUAAGCUCAGCCUUGGAGCGAUUUGAAGCUUAUCCAGAAAAGGUAUUGUGAGAAACGGCAGCACCUUCCAGAGCACUCACGAAGUAAGCUUGAAUUUUCUUUGUUCUUCGUCAAUGGGUUCUUCUACUGGUGCCGAGGGGCUCGCUCCUCAUGCAGCGGUUCUUCCCGUUCCAACCCAAGGCCACAUCACUCCAUUCCUCCAUCUCUCCAGAGCGCUGGCGUCGCGAGGCUUCGUCAUAACUUUCAUCAACACGGAGGCCAACCACAGGGACUUGAAGGACAUCGUUUCGCAGGAGGAGAGCUUUGGCUAUGGCGGCGGCAUUCGCUUCGAGACGGUCCCGGGCAUCCAAGCGAGCGACGUCGACUUCGCGGUCCCGGAGAAGCGGGGGAUGUUGUCCGAGGCAGUGAUGGAGAUGCAAGCUCCAGUGGAAAGCUUGCUCAUCAGGAACAUGGCCAGAGACGAUGAUCUCGUUCCUCCGGUCUCGUGCUUCAUCUCGGAUAUGUUCCCGUGGUCCGCGGAAGUAGCAAGAAGGACUGGAAUCCCAGAGGUCAAGUUCUGGACCGCCAGUGCCUCUUGCGUUUUGCUCGAUUGCUCGUUUCCGCGAAUGCUGGAGAAGGGAGACGUUCCAGUCCAAGGUAAAGCUUCUUUCUUCUUUUUUAUUUGUCCUUCACUAACGUGUUCCGCCAGAUCGUUCCAUUGAAAAGUACAUCACUUACGUAGACGGCUUGUCACCACUGCCAAUCUGGGGCCUCCCGCGCGACCUUUCUGCCAUUGACGAAUCAAGAUUCGCUCGCAGAUACGCUAGAGCCAAGAGCUACGCCACAACGUCGUGGGUUUUGGUCAACUCGUUCGAAGAACUCGAGGGCAGUGCCACCUUCCAAGCCCUCCGAGACAUCUCUCCCAAAGCAAUCGCAGUGGGUCCUCUUUUCACCAUGGUCCCCGGCUCCAACAAGGCAAGCUUGUGGAAGGAAGACACCGAGAGUUUAUCCUGGCUCGGCAAGCAAAGUCCCGGCUCGGUUCUCUACAUUUCCUUGGGCAGCAUGGCGACUCUCAGCUUCGAUCAGUUCAAGGAGUUCUCCGAGGGACUGACGCUUCUCCAGCGUCCGUUUAUCUGGGCCAUCCGACCCAAGUCGGUCGCCGGCAUGGAGCCCGAGUUCCUGGAGCGUUUCAAGGAGGCCGUGAGGAGCUUUGGACUGGUUGUGAGCUGGGCUCCUCAGGUGGACAUCCUCCGCCACCCUUCCACGGCUGGAUUUCUCAGUCACUGCGGCUGGAACUCCAUCCUCGAGAGCGUAGCAUCCGCGGUGCCCAUGCUUUGCUGGCCGUGCGUCGCGGAGCAGAAUCUAAACUGCAAGUUGAUAGUGGAGGACUGGAAGAUCGGUCUCAAGUUCUCGUGCGUGACCAUGCUGGAUCCUCCCGAGGUGAUGGCGAGGGACGAGUUUGUGGAGGUGGUGGAGCGAUUCAUGGGAACUGACAGUGAGCAUUUGAGGAUUAACGUGAAGAAGCUGAGCGAGGAGGCUCGUAGAGCAGUGUCUAGUGGUGGCUCCUCGUAUGAAAACCUGGAGAGAUUUGCUCAAGCAGUGAAAAUUUCCUAAACUUCAAUCCACGGCUAAGAGAAAACUUCAAAGCAUCUACUCUACUCAAGAAUAUACUACUCUUUCUCUCUCUCUCUGAAGAUAAGCACGCGCUUUGCGCGUAUAAUGGGUUCCAAGAUCAAUGUUGUGGCGAUUCCUUUCCCCUCUCCACUCUUGCAUCUCUGCCAAGCUCUCACUUUCAUCCUUUGGGGGAUGCUAUCUCGAAAACACGCAACCACGAGGGAAUGUGUUAGACUUUGUCAUGUGCAAGAACCCAUGGCUAAUGUGUUAAUGUAGACUCCAAGGUGAUGCCUUAUGUCAGAAACUGCUGCGAGGAAAAGAAACUAAAGAAAAACAAAGAAAAAAUAAUAAGUGUAAAGUUCUGGAGUUAAAAAGGAAUCACAUGAGGAAACUUGAUAAAAGAAUUAAACACUAAAAAAUGAAAAAACAAAGUGAAAAAAGCUGAAGAGUAAGGAACAGCUUAUAGAAAUACUAACAAGAUUGGAAGAGCUCUAGAGGCCAGUUAUAAUGGCCAUUUGUCUCAAGUUGGUCCCUGGCAUAGAGCCCGAGUUCCUGGAGGCUUUCAAGGCUCUCCUUGAAAGUGAUCAGCUUUGGAUUGGUUGUGAGCUGGGCUCCUCAACUGGAAAUCCUCCAGCAUCUUUCCACAAGCUGCGAGAGUGUAUCUUCAGCAGUGCCAAUCCUUUGCUGGCCAUGAGUUGCCAAGCAGAAUCUCAACUGCAAGCUUAUAGUGGAAGACUGGAAGAUCGAUCUUAAGUUCUCGCCCAUGAGAUAUCCUCGCAAGGUGGUGGCAGGGACGAGUUUGUGGAGGUGGUGGAGCAACUCAUGGGAGCUGCGAGUGGCAAUUCCUUUAGAUGUAAUGUGAAGGAGCUCAGCGAGGCUGCUCAGGGAGCAACAGUGAAAGAAGGCAGGAUCUUCAUAUGAAAGUUUGGACAAGUUCGUCAAGUUUCAUAAGGUAAUUUAUAUCCAAUGCCGCAGCUGGUGGCAGGACGAUCAUCGGGCAUGAGGGCGGGGCCAAUGCACAGACAGACCAACCACCAAGAGCACAUAAAGAUGAUACUUGAAAGUGUAUAGGUUGGUGGAAGUGUUAUUUUCCUUCCCAAAGAAAUAGAUGGCGUAAUCAAGAGGAGUAAAACAUUCCUGAAGGAGAACACUAGAUUAAAACCUUUGCAAAACGCACUGAUUCUUAAGCUCAGCCUUGGAGCGAUUUCAAGCUUAUCCAGAAAAGGUAUUGUGAGAAACGGCAGCACCUUCCAGAGCACUCACGAAGUAAGCUUGAAUUUUCUUUGUUCUUCGUCAAUGGGUUCUUCUACUGGUGCCGAGGGGCUCGCUCCUCACGCAGCGGUUCUUCCCAUUCCAACGCUACGCCACAUCACUCCAUUCCUCCAUCUCUCCAGAGCUCUGGCCUCGCGAGGCUUCGUCAUAACUUUCAUCAACACGGAGGGCAACCACAGGGACUUGAAGGACAUCGUUUCACAGGAGGAGAGCUUUGGCUAUGGCGGCGGCAUUCGCUUCGAGACGGUCCCGGGCAUCCAAGCGAGCGACGUCGACUUCGCGGUCCCGGAGAAGCGGGGGAUGUUGUCCGAGGCAGUGAUGGAGAUGCAGGCUCCAGUGGAAAGCUUGCUCAUCAGGAACAUGGCCAGAGACGAUGAUCUCGUUCCUCCGGUCUCGUGCUUCAUCUCGGAUAUGUUCCCGUGGUCCGCGGAAGUAGCAAGAAGGACUGGAAUCCCAGAGGUCAAGUUCUGGAUCGCCAGUGCCUCUUGCGUUUUGCUCGAUUGCUCGUUUCCGCGAAUGCUGGAGAAGGGAGACGUUCCAGUCCAAGGUAAAGCUUCUUUCUUCUUUUUUAUUUGUCCUUCUUUCGAGAAGCACUAACGUGUUCCGCCAGAUCGUUCCAUUGAAAAGUACAUCACUUACGUAGACGGCUUGUCACCACUGCCAAUCUGGGGCCUCCCGCGCGACCUUUCUGCCAUUGACGAAUCAAGAUUCGCUGGCAGAUACGCUAGAGCCAAGAGCUUCGCCACAACGUCGUGGGUUUUGGUCAACUCGUUCGAAGAACUCGAGGGCAGUGCCACCUUCCAAGCCCUCCGAGACAUCUCUCCCAAAGCAAUCGCUGUGGGUCCUCUUUUCACCAUGGCCCCCGGCUGCAACAAGGCAAGCUUGUGGAAGGAAGACACCGAGAGUUUAUCCUGGCUCGGCAAGCAAAGUCCCGGCUCGGUUCUCUACAUUUCCUUGGGCACCAUCGCGACUCUCAGCUUCGAUCAGUUCAAGGAGUUCUCCGAGGGACUGAGGCUUCUCCAGCGUCCGUUUAUCUGGGCCAUCCGACCCAAGUCGGUCGCCGGCAUGGAGCCCGAGUUCCUGGAGCGUUUCAAGGAGGCCGUGAGGAGCUUUGGACUGGUUGUGAGCCGGGCUCCUCAGGUGGACAUCCUCCGCCACCCUUCCACGGCUGGAUUUCUCAGUCACUGCGGCUGGAACUCCAUCCUCGAGAGCGUAGCAUCCGCGGUGCCCAUGCUUUGCUGGCCGUGCGUCGCGGAGCAGAAUCUAAACUGCAAGUUGAUAGUGGAGGACUGGAAGAUCGGUCUCAAGUUCUCGUGCGUGACCAUGCCGGAUCCUCCCGAGGUGAUGGCGAGGGACGAGUUUGUGGAGGUGGUGGAGCGAUUCAUGGGAACUGACAGUGAGCAUUUGAGGAUUAACGUGAAGAAGCUGAGCGAGGAGGCUCGUAGAGCAGUGUCUAGUGGUGGCUCCUCAUAUGAAAACCUGGAGAGAUUUGCUCAAGCAGUGAAAAUUUCCUAAACUUCAAUCCAAAGCUAAGAGAAAACUUCAAAGCAUCUACUCUAUUCAAGAAUAUACUACAGUUCUUUCUCUCUCUCUCUGAAGAUAAGCACGCGCUUUGCGCGUAUAAUGGGUUCCAAGGUCAAUGUUGUCGCAAUUCCUCUCCCAGCUCAAGGCCACAUCUCUCCACUCUUGCAUCUCUGCCAAGCUCUCACUUUCAUCCUUUGGGGGAUGCUAUCUCCGAAACACACAACCAUGAGGGAAUGUGCUGGACUUUGUCACGUGCAAGAACCCAUGGCCAAUGUGCUAGUGUAGACUCCAAGGUGAUGCCUUAUGUCAGAAACUGAUGCAAAAAGAAGAAACUAAAGAAAAACAAAAAAAAUAAUAAUAAGAAGAAAGAGAGUGUAAAGUUCUGGAGUCAAAAGGGAACCAUAUGAGGAAAUUUGAUAAAAGAACUAAACACUAAAAAAUGGAAAAACAAAAAGUGAAAAAAACUAAAGAGCAAGGAACAGCUUAAAGAAGAGCUCUAGAGGCCAGUUAUAAUGGCCAUUUGUCUCAAGUUGGUCCCUGGCAUAGAGCCUGAGUUCCUGGAGGCUUUCAAGGCUCUCCUUGAAAGUGAUCAGCUUUGGACUGGUUGUGAGCUGGGCUCCUCAACCGGAAAUCCUCCAGCAUCCUUCCACAGGCUGCGAGAGUGUAUCUUCAGCAGUGCCAAUCCUUUGCUGGUCAUGAGUUGCCGAGCAGAAUCUCAACUGCAAGCUUAUAGUGGAAAACUGGAAGAUCGAUCUUAAGUUCUCACCCAUGAGAGAUCCUUGCAAGGUGGUGGCAGGGAUGAGUUUGUGGAGGUGGUGGAGCAACUCAUGGGAGCUGAGAGUGGCGAUUCCUUUAGAUGUAAUGUGAAGGAGCUCAGCGAGGCUGCUCAGGGAGCAACAGUGAAAGAAGUCAAGAUCUUCAUAUGAAAGUUUGGACAAGUUUGUCAAGUUUCAUAAGGUAAUUUAUAUCCAAUGCCGCAGCUGGUGGCAGGACGAUCAUCGGGCAUGAGGGCGGGGCCAAUGCACAGACAGACCAACCACCAAGAGCACAUAAAGAUGAUACUUGAAAGUGUAUAGGUUGGUGGAAGUGUUAUUUUCCUUCCCAAAGAAAUAGAUGGCGUAAUCAAGAGGAGUAAAACAUUCCUGAAGGAGAACACUAGAUUAAAACCUUUGCAAAACGCACUGAUUCUUAAGCUCAGCCUUGGAGCGAUUUCAAGCUUAUCCAGAAAAGGUAUUGUGAGAAACGGCAGCACCUUCCAGAGCACUCACGAAGUAAGCUUGAAUUUUCUUUGUUCUUCGUCAAUGGGUUCUUCUACUGGUGCCGAGGGGCUCGCUCCUCACGCAGCGGUUCUUCCCAUUCCAACGCUACGCCACAUCACUCCAUUCCUCCAUCUCUCCAGAGCUCUGGCCUCGCGAGGCUUCGUCAUAACUUUCAUCAACACGGAGGGCAACCACAGGGACCUGAAGGACAUCGUUUCACAGGAGGAGAGCUUUGGCUAUGGCGGCGGCAUUCGCUUCGAGACGGUCCCGGGCAUCCAAGCGAGCGACGUCGACUUCGCGGUCCCGGAGAAGCGGGGGAUGUUCUCCGAGGCAGUGAUGGAGAUGCAGGCUCCAGUGGAAAGCUUGCUCAUCAGGAACAUGGCCAGAGACGAUGAUCUCGUUCCUCCGGUCUCGUGCUUCAUCUCGGAUAUGUUCCCGUGGUCCGCGGAAGUAGCAAGAAGGACUGGAAUCCCAGAGGUCAAGUUCUGGAUCGCCAGUGCCUCUUGCGUUUUGCUCGAUUGCUCGUUUCCGCGAAUGCUGGAGAAGGGAGACGUUCCAGUCCAAGGUAAAGCUUCUUUCUUCUUUUUUAUUUGUCCUUCUUUCGAGAAGCACUAACGUGUUCCGCCAGAUCGUUCCAUUGAAAAGUACAUCACUUACGUAGACGGCUUGUCACCACUGCCAAUCUGGGGCCUCCCGCGCGACCUUUCUGCCAUUGACGAAUCAAGAUUCGCUGGCAGAUACGCUAGAGCCAAGAGCUUCGCCACAACGUCGUGGGUUUUGGUCAACUCGUUCGAAGAACUCGAGGGCAGUGCCACCUUCCAAGCCCUCCGAGACAUCUCUCCCAAAGCAAUCGCUGUGGGUCCUCUUUUCACCAUGGCCCCCGGCUGCAACAAGGCAAGCUUGUGGAAGGAAGACACCGAGAGUUUAUCCUGGCUCGG